rnacentral:rRNA from 1 species
GUGGGGAAUAUUGGGCGAUGGGCGCAAGCCUGACCCAGCAACGCCGCGUGAAGGAAGAAGGCUUUCGGGUUGUAAACUUCUUUGACAGGGGACGAAACAAAUGACGGUACCCUGAAAACAAGCCACGGCUAACUACGUGCCAGCAGCCGCGGUAAUACGUAGGUGGCAAGCGUUAUCCGGAUUUACUGGGUGUAAAGGGCGUGUAGGCGGGAUUACAAGUCAGAUAUGAAAACUAUGGGAUCAACCCAUAGCCUGCAUUUGAAACUGUAGUUCUUGAGUGAUGGAGAGGCAGACGGAAUUCCUCGUGUAGCGGUGAAAUGCGUAGAUAUGAGGAGGAACACCAGUGGCGAAGGCGGUCUGCUGGACAGCAACUGACGCUGAGGCGCGAAAGCGUGGGGAGCAAACAGGAUUAGAUACCCGAGUAGUCC